GGCGGACGGGUGAGUAACGUGUAAAGAACUUACCAUAUAGACUGGGAUAACAGAGGGAAACUUCUGAUAAUACUGGAUAAGUUAGUAUAUCGCAUGAUAUACAAAUGAAAGCUACGGCACUAAAGGAGAGCUUUGCGUCCUAUUAGCUAGUUGGUAAGGUAAGAGCUUACCAAGGCGAUGAUAGGUAGCCGGCCUGAGAGGGUGGACGGCCACAAGGGGACUGAGAUACGGCCCUUACUCCUACGGGAGGCAGCAGCC
rnacentral:rRNA from 1 species